rnacentral:lncRNA from 1 species
CGGAAUCUGGUCAUUGGGAUCGCAGAUACGCCGCAUCUGCUAAAAUACGCCUGAUCCAUUUAUGGGCCUUCUCGACCAGUUGUGGGACGACACCGUCGCUGGCCCUCGGCCGGAGAACGGUCUCAGCAAGCUUCGGAAGCAUAACACCUUCGCCGCCCGAUCUAACUCCGGCAAGGGUACGCCGCUGUACUCUGCCACCUUAAUUUCUCGUAUAUAAUUUUCCAUGAUCGUUAAACGAAUCACCAAUACCACAACUGUUAUCACUAAAAUUGAACUGAAUUACUAUAAUCAUCAUCAUUAUCACUAUUAUAACUAUAAUCUACCCGUUAAUAUUGAUUAACCUUCAAAUUAAAUAUCGAAUUGUGUUCUAGGUUAGAUCUGAAGCGCAAGACACAGUUAUUAAGAUUGAAGUUCGAAAUUAUCGAAAUCCAUUCAUAUAUGAUAUAAUUUAAAUCUAUCUUGAUUCUUGAAGUUCUUGCAUGUUUUAUUUUGGUAGAAGAAGUUCCUGCAUGUGAAAAGGUCAAAGAGAUUUUUUUUUUGAAUUCGUGAAAAGCUGAAAGAUGUUUUUCUCAGUUUUUGAUUUGUAAGAAAAUUAAAAUAAAUAUGCUAACAGUUAAGGAAAUUGAUUGAUCAGAAAC